UCCUCCAGUAUCACGACUUCUGGCUCGCAACUUGUUAACCUGGCAUUCAGCAAUAUCAGCUCGUUCUUCAGCCUCUUCCAGCUCGUGCUGGGUCUUGUGGCAUCGUGAGAGAUUAAUGUUUGCCUGUUCUUCCUGAAAGUCAUGCAGUGCCAUCAGUGACAUGGACACAAACUGACAUUGCCCUGUUACAGUUAACCGAACACCCUAUGGCUGUACCACAGUAACAUCACCUCCUGCAGUUAGCCUCACAGCUGCCCCCCUGCGUUGCCAGCACUCUGUGCUUUUCUAUCUAGCACUGUCAACACCAUGAGCACGCACUUUGCUGGGGACAGAACAAUUAGUCCUGCUCAGUUCCAGCUGGGAAAAUUGGCUAGUGUGGCUCCAAAAGUGCAGCAACUCUAGGAUAAUUACAGCUGUGCCUGCUCUGUUGUGAGCCCUAAGUCUGUACGAGCUUGUCCACCAGGUCCUGGAGCCGGAGAAUAUUUUUCUUAUCCUCUUCAGACUGUGGGAAGUGAAAAUCAAGUCAGCCUCAGAAGAUCAACCAAGGUGAUGCACAUAAGAGGGCAGAGGAUUUGAAAUACCUGGCCUGUCAUGGAUGAGACUGUAAAUGCCAGUUCCAAGUUCUUCUCCAAGUACAGUCUUCUCUGAAAACCUGCAUGAGGAGCAGGGAAACCAGAAGAGUCCCUCAAGGAGAGAGAGAAAACCAAGUGCAGAGGCAUUUCUCCAAAAUGGCCACAAGAGGGUAAGUUGUGAUCUGGAGGCAUUGUAGGCUACAGUGGCUGGAGAGUAGCACUGUGAAGUUUAGCAACGGAAUAGCAUGGGGUGUGCACUCUGUUGUGGCCCCAGAAAAUGGCUGGCAGCCCCGUUGCUCUUGUGACUCUUGUGAGCGAUGGGACUGGUUUGCAGAGCAUAAGCAAGGUUUCCCACAUUUCUCAAUAUCACUUGUGGCCCAAGGUUAGAGUUGUUCAGGUCCUGCAGGAACUCUAAUCUGGUGCUGCUGAAAGGAUGUGGGAAGGGAAUGUAUGUUUUGGGGGUACCCACCUUACACAGGACAUUAUGAAGCAAUAAAAAAAUUCAGGAGCAGUCUGAGGAGGAACAUUAUCUUCUAGAUAAUACAGACAGAUCCACAAUUGCUGCUUCUUUUUGUUUUCCGGAGCAUAUAGUUGUCCUUUAAAAGGGCUCCCAAGUUCCUGGAUAUAUGUGGACAUCAGUGUCAUUCCCAUAGGAGAGUGUCCCCUGUUGAUAACCAUCCAAUAGGCCUCCUUUUCUGUGGCUGCAGGGCCAUUACAUUGAAAGAACAAGUAUACAAAGACAAGGAAAGGUUGUAUGUGUAUCCUUGAGCAUCAUGACUUUUUGGGGCAUCCCAGUAAAGCACUGAGGAGCUAAAGGACUCAGGGGUCUUGAUGUCUACCUUGCUUCUCAUUGUAUGAAUGGGGGAAUAAUGUCUUCUCUGGGCAAAUCAUGCAUAAAAGACUUCUCUUGUGCCAAGUAAAAAUUUCCACUUCUAGUUAGAUAAACUGAACCUUCAAAGUUUUUUUUAAUUUGAAAAACCAAUUAACCAAAUGAGUUGCAUGUAAAGACUCAGAAAACAUCAUGUACCAGGAAGAUUUGUUGAAAGCACAUUUAAAGUCAAUUCAGGUAAACAUACCAGGUAAGUUCUAGAAGUAUUGUUGUGGCUUUGCCCCAGCUGGCAGCUAAGCACUACACAGCCACUUGCUUUCCCCUCAACCCCCCAAGGGGAUGGAGAGGAAAAUGGAAAAAAAAACCUUGUGGGUUGAGAUAAAGACAGUUUAAUAGGAUAACAAAGGAAGAGAAUAAUAAUAAUAGUAACAAUAAUAGCAAUAACAACAAUAAUAAAACAAGUGAUGCACAAAUGCAAUUGCUCACCAUAUGCAGAAGAAAAACCCAACACCCUAUGCCCAGUCUGUUUCCAAGCAGCAAAUCUGCCUCCCGGCUGGCUUCCACAGUUACAAAUGGAGCAUGAUGUUACGUGUCAGGGACUAUGCCUUUGGCCAGUCUGGGUCAGCUGUCCUGGAUUCUUGUACACCUGGCAGGGCCUAAGAAGCUGAAAAGUCCUUGGCUUAGUGUAGACACUACAACUACCCAGCAACAACUAAAACAUCAGUGUGUUAUCAGCGUUAUUCUCAUGCUAAAUCCAAAACACUGCACUGUACCAGCUACUAGAAAGAAAAUUAACUCUAUCUCAGCUGAAACCAGGACAACUGUAUAUACCUCUGCAGAAGUAGAUAUGAUACUGAUGUGAUGAGUCUGUUGUCUAUCUUGACUGAUACGUUGUUGUUCAUAGUAUUUAUUUUCACAUGAUAUAUGCAGAUGCCAAUUUAUCAAAAGCAUAAGUAUGGCUGGAGUCUUUUACAGCAAUUUAUCUGUCAAGGAAAGUGCCACAC